UCUGAGCAGCAGAUCUGAACCGCAGUUCUAGACGUCACAGAGCCCCCUACUGGAUUACUUUAUAACUGCAACUAAAUCAACAGUUCAGAUCGAGACUUCUCGUUUUUUUCCGGCAGCGUGCUCUUUUCUCCUUUUCUCAAGAUGGAUGACGACCGGAGUGUACACAUAACAAUCCAGAAAGGAAGGGCCUUGCCCCAACUUCACAGAUGCACAUCAUGCUGCAAUAACUACCACUGUCCAUUCUGCAGCCCUACAGUUUACUACCCCUCCCCGUUGAACAAAUGUCAGAUACACAUGGAUCUUCAUUUUAACAGAGCUGUUAGCCAUGAAGAAUACACCAUUCACAGAUGUGGACUGGGAUGUCGGCCGCAGCUGCAUUAUCACUGUCCAUACUGCAGUUCAACAAUAAAACGGAAAGACGAUUUUAUUAAACAUAUACAUUGGUGCAAGAAGAAACCAGGUUCCAACCCUACAGUCCCACCAACCACCAC